GUGUUUGCUUCAGAAGCACAUAUACUAAAAUUGGAGAGAUACAAGGAUUAGCAUGGCCCUUGCACAAAUUUGUUUUUCAAAUUUGAUUAAUAAACAGCCAUAAAUUAUU
ensembl:snRNA U6 U6 spliceosomal RNA